UCAAUAUCAUCUGCAGUACCAUCAGCAACAGUAUCAACUGCAGUACCACCAGCAACAAUAUCUGCAGGA
rnacentral:lncRNA from 1 species